rnacentral:misc_RNA from 1 species
AUAAUUGUGAGGAAAUAAUUCCAACCCUAAAGGCUAUGCAAUUCGAACCACACCUGACAAGUUCAUGAUAAAGAAACCAUGUUUAUCUAGCUAAUGAUAUAUUGUCCUCAUUAACACAAAGAUCCCAUUCAUUCAUAGGCAUGAUAGCCAUAAAUUUUAUCAUGUAAUAAACAUAUUAAGUGAUUUACUUCCAUAUUUGUGUGAGACUCCACUAAAUUUAUUAAAAGUAUAAAUGACGUUAUUGAUAUGCCCCCAACAUACAAUUUACAAAGAUCAGUGCCAGCCCUAAACUGAAAGCAACAUAUUUUACGCAAGGAGUAAAUACAGAAA